CAGUCCUCAUUUCUCCAUUAUAGUUCUUAGAUCUCCCUCCUUUGCCGUUUUCUCUUCUCCCUCCCCUGCCCUAAUCCUCCUCCUAGCGAAAUUAGUGUCGUGCCCUAACUUCUUCAAAAGCGCCGCCGCGACUUCUCCUUCCGCAACAGAUUCCUCCUCCCAGCAAGCCUCGUCUUCCUCCUCCUAGCAUUUUCGAAGAGCAAGGAGCAGUGACUUUGAGUACUCUUUGAGGUGAAGAAAGUAUAAUGGAAGAAGGAAAAUUUGAUUUGAAUGAGAUGAAGGAUAACACCGACCAUGCGGAUCAAGACCCAUCUCCAUCUAUUGUCGAAGAAGUCAAGCUACUUGAGAUCAUGCCUUCUCUAAAGACUUUUGGAAGAACAUGGAUCAUUCUUUGCCUCUGUUACAUUGGACGAUAUAUCUGAAGUUGCAGCUUCUGAAGUUGCUGGUUUGGAAGAAUAUGGAAUUUUGUUAAGUUGCUAGUUCUAAAGUUGAAAUGGACUUUUGGAAGGAGAUGAAAUUUCUAUUAGCACUAUUAAAUUGUUAUUAGGAAUGUUAUUGAAUUUGUAUAUCCUAUAUUAGCUGGGAGUUUUGUAGACUUAUAUGAAUCAAGAAUCAAUUGUUGUUGAC